UGGGGAAUUUUGGACAAUGGGGGAAACCCUGAUCCAGCCAUCCCGCGUGUGCGAUGAAGGCCUUCGGGUUGUAAAGCACUUUUGGCAGGGAAGAAAAGGUUCGGGCUAAUAACCUGGGCAAAUGACGGUACCUGCAGAAUAAGCACCGGCUAACUACGUGCCAGCAGCCGCGGUAAUACGUAGGUGGCAAGCGUUGUCCGGAUUUACUGGGCGUAAAGGAUGCGUAGGCGGAUACUUAAGUCAGAUGUGAAAAUCCCGGGCUUAACUUGGGAACUGCAUUUGAAACUGGGUAUCUAGAGUGCGGGAGAGGAAAGUGGAAUUCCUAGUGUAGCGGUGAAAUGCGUAGAGAUUAGGAAGAACACCAGUGGCGAAGGCGACUUUCUGGACCGUAACUGACGCUGAGGCAUGAAAGCGUGGGGAGCAAACA
rnacentral:rRNA from 1 species